UACAGAGGGGGCAAGCGUUGUUCGGAAUUACUGGGCGUAAAGGGCUCGUAGGUGGCCAACUAAGUCGGACGUGAAAUCCCUCGGCUUAACCGGGGAACUGCGUCCGAUACUGGUUGGCUUGAGUACAGGAGAGGGUGGGGGAAUUCCUGGUGUAGCGGUGAAAUGCGUAGAUAUCUGGAGGAAUACCGGUGGCGAAGGCGGCAUCCUGGACCGGCAUUGACGCUGAGGAGCGAAAGCCAGGGGAGCAAACGGG
rnacentral:rRNA from 1 species